rnacentral:rRNA from 1 species
AAUAAACGCUGGCGGCGUGCCUAACACAUGCAAGUCGAGCGAAAAAGCUCCUUCGGGAGUGAGUACAGCGGCGAACGGGUGAGCAACGCGUGGGAAUCUACCCUUCAGUGAAGAAUACCCUUGAGAAAUCGAGGUUAAUACUGCAUACGUCCUGUAAAGGAGAAAGAUGGCCUCUUUGCUGUCGUUGAAGGAUGAGCCUGCGUACUAUUAGCUAGUUGGUAGGGUAACGGCCUACCAAGGCUUUGACGGGUAGCCGGCCUGAGAGGGUGACCGGCCACAUUGGGACUGAGAUACGGCCCAGACUCCUACGGGAGGCAGCAGUGGGGAAUAUUGCACAAUGGGCGGAAGCCUGAUGCAGCAACGCCGCGUGCGGGAUGACGGCCUUCGGGUUGUAAACCGCUUUCGCCUGUGACGAAGCGUGAGUGACGGUAAUGGGUAAAGAAGCAUCGGCUAACUACGUGCCAGCCGCCGCCGUAA